rnacentral:lncRNA from 1 species
CAUGAGAGAGAGUGGAUGGGUUCUUUAGGACAUCAAAACCAUCUCAAUGCCCCAACUCUUCUUUCUUCCUUCAACCUCCAUGCCAAGACUUGAUAGAGAUCAGAUCUAACAUAGAAAAAGAGAAAAAAAAAAUAGAAGAAGAAAGAUUCUUCUUUCUUUCUUGGUGAUCUGGUCUAGAUCCCGUCAGAUCUGCAUGAAGAAGUUUGCGCAGUGAUCUUCUUCUUCGAGAUCUAGAAGAAGAAAUGUAG